UGGCUAUCUGACUCUUUAGCGGCCCGAUCCUCCUCUUUUGGCUCUCCAACUCUUCACUCUAUAUGUUCUUCCUCUUCGGCUCUACUCAAUUUUUUUACUGAUUAUGGAUUAAUUUUUAUUUUUUAUAUUUAUUUAGUUUAGAUGGAAACUUAUGAUGAUGAGAGUAUUGCCGUAUCAAUAUUUUUUCUAUUUUUGAGAAGAAAGAAACUCUUCCUACUCCCUU
rnacentral:lncRNA from 1 species